GGGGCCCGCACAAGCGGUGGAGCAUGUGGUUUAAUUCGAUGCAACGCGAAGAACCUUACCUGGGCUUGACAUCCCGGGAAUCCCUUGGAAACAAGGGAGUGCCCUUCGGGGAACCUGGAGACAGGUGCUGCAUGGCUGUCGUCAGCUCGUGUCGUGAGAUGUUGGGUUAAGUCCCGCAACGAGCGCAACCCUCGCCUUUAGUUGCCAGCAUUCAGUUGGGCACUCUAGAGGGACUGCCGGUGUCAAACCGGAGGAAGGUGGGGAUGACGUCAAGUCCUCAUGGCCUUUAUGACCAGGGCUACACACGUACUACAAUGGCCGGUACAAAGGGCAGCGACACAGCGAUGUGAAGCGAAUCCCGAAAAGCCGGUCUCAGUCCGGAUUGGAGUCUGCAACUCGACUCCAUGAAGUUGGAAUCGCUAGUAAUCGCGGAUCAGCACGCCGCGGUGAAUACGUUCCCGGGCCUU
rnacentral:rRNA from 1 species